AGCCCGUUACAUUCAGGAAAACAGCAGCAGCCUUUGCUGCCCAGGACGCCACAGGCAAUGCUCACCUUUGCGCCUGGUUAUCCGGGCGGCGUCCCCAGCUUUCUGCCCUCUAAAGGCACUCACUCUAGUUUCUGUGUUUUGGAAGCAGGUCCAGCUUAACCUCAGGGAGAAGGGAGAAUUAAACUACUUCCUGGAGUGGGCAAGGACCUAAAUAUAUUAUCCAUAAUUCUUCUCCAAGGAAGAUUGCAGACCAAAGGAUUUUAAUCCAACUGCGCCCAAGGUCCACUUAUGGGGUUUUGGUGUAGCUUGCUUCUACAUUACAACAAA